GAUGAACGCUGGCGGCGUGCCUAAUACAUGCAAGUCGAGCGAACGGACGAUACUCUUGCUUCUCUGAUGUUAGCGGCGGACGUGUGAGUAACACGUGGAUCACCUACCUAUAAUACUGGUAUCACUUCGGGAAACCGGAUCUAAUACCGGAUGAUAUUUUGAACCGCAUGGUUCAAAAGUAAAAUACGGUCUUUCUGUCUCUUCUCGAUGGAUCCGCGCUGCAUUAGCUAGUUGGUAAGGUAACGGCUUACCAAGGCAACGAUGCAUAGCCGACCUGAGAGGGGGAUCGGCCACACUGGAACGGAGACACGGACAAGACUACUAAGGGAGGCAGCAGUAGGGUAUGGUACGCAAUGGGCGAAAGCAUGACGGAGCAAGGGCGAGUGAGAGAUGAAGGUGUUCGGAGCGUAAAAAUCGGUUAUUAGGGAAGAACAGAUGUGGAAGUAACUGUGGACAGAGUGACGGUAACGAGUCAGAAAGCAACGGCUAACUACGUG
rnacentral:rRNA from 1 species